rnacentral:misc_RNA from 1 species
AAUAUAUAUAUAUAUAUAUAUAUUCUGAGAGUGAGACAGUGGCUGUCCCACAUUUUUUUUACAAGAAUAGCCACACAGAAGGUUGCACUUUUAGCACGCCAAAUUCAUAUCAUGCUUUGAAUUAGCUCACAACAAAUUUAAAUAUCACAAUCCACAAUCCAAAGUACAAACAUAAAAAAUCUCCUUUUCAAGCUCACUUUCCAGGGACGAAAUUUGUGGCAUAAGCCCAGGCAUUGUUGUUGACGGGGUCAGCAAGGUGGUCGGCCAAGUUCUCCAGUGGUCCCUUUCCUGG